CAGCCGCCGCGGUAAUACGUAGGGUGCAAGCGUUAAUCGGAAUUACUGGGCGUAAAGCGUGCGCAGGCGGUUAUAUAAGACAGAUGUGAAAUCCCCGGGCUCAACCUGGGAACUGCAUUUGUGACUGUAUAGCUAGAGUACGGCAGAGGGGGAUGGAAUUCCGCGUGUAGCAGUGAAAUGCGUAGAUAUGCGGAGGAACACCGAUGGCGAAGGCAAUCCCCUGGGCCUGUACUGACGCUCAUGCACGAAAGCGUGGGGAGCAAACAGGAUUAGAGACCCCAGUAGUCCCUGUCUCUUAUAA
rnacentral:rRNA from 1 species